rnacentral:lncRNA from 1 species
CGGUGUACAUUUAAAUAUUUCCGGUGAGGUUGCGGUGGAAUGUAACAUACCGGAUUUUAAAUAUAAAAGUGAAAAUAAAUAAAAAUAGUAUGAGAUACUAUUUUAUCUGAUUUAGAGAAGCGAAAUAUAGGUUGGGAGUGACCUGUGCUGAAAUCGGAGCGAAAACAGAAGAUUUAAAAUUUUCUGGAAGAAACGGGGCAGAUAAAUUAGCAGAAAAUGUACAAUUUCAGAAAAUUAUGAAAAUUGAAGAAUAUGUCAACAUACCGAACUUCGAAAAUCAUGAAGUCACGGUGUACAUUUAAAUGUUUCCGGUGAGAUUGCGGUGGAAUGUAACAUACCGGAUUUUAAAUAUAAAAGUGAAAAUAAAUAAAAAUAGUAUGAGAUACUAUUUUAUCUGAUUUAGAGAAGCGAAAUAUAGGUUGGGAGUGACCUGUGCUGAAAUCGGAGCGAAAACAGAAGAUUUAAAAUUUUCUGGAAGAAACGGGGCAGAUAAAUUAGCAGAAAAUGUACAAUUUCAGAAAAUUAUGAAAAUUGAAGAAUAUGUCAACAUACCGAACUUCGAAAAUCAUGAAGUCACGGUGUACAUUUAAAUGUUUCCGGUGAGAUUGCGGUGGAAUGUAACAUACCGGAUUUUAAAUAUAAAAGUGAAAAUAAAUAAAAAUAGUAUGAGAUACUAUUUUAUCUGAUUUAGAGAAGCGAAAUAUAGGUUGGGAGUGACCUGUGCUGAAAUCGAAGCGAAAACAGAAGAUUUAAAAUUUUCUGGAAGAAACGGGGCAGAUAAAUUAGCAGAAAAUGUACAGUUUCAGAAAAUUAUGAAAAUUGAAGAAUAUGUCAGAAAUAUUUUUAUGAGGCUAGAUUUAAAGUUUCAUAUUUUUCUGACACCCGAAAGGUGAAAAAUAAAAUCCGGCAAGUUAUCUGCUAAAGAUUACAGUUCGGCACAGUUUUCGGUGACCAAAUGGGGUCGAAACUGAAAACUUAAAAUAUAUUCUUGCUCAGUACGUUAAACCGAGCCUGCCUGUCAAAUUUGAGCUCAAUCGGACAUUCAGAAGGGCUCCAACGAAACUUAUCAGAUUUAGGGACUAAAUUGAAAGAUUGAAUAGUUGAGGGGCUAACUCGUAAAAAGGGAUUAAAU